UUCUGACAAGUGUGUGAGUCUGGCUGAGUGGGGGUGGGGGGAUGGUGUUUAUGGGCUCAGAAUAGAGGAAGUUAUGGGCUCAGAAUAGAGGAAGCGCAUGCUGAUUGGUCCACGGGUGGCCAUGGGUGGGCCUGGAAAAAGCACCAUCCGAUUGGCCAAAAGGCAUCAAGGAAGUUCUCACUCCCAGUCCAGAACUCCACCUGGAACUGGCAGCCCAGCCCCAGGCUUCGGGCUGUACCUGGCUUGAAGGUGGGGUUUCCCCCAGGACCUAGCCCUUCCCACCUAGGAACCUGUCUGCCUCCCAGUGCCAUCAACCUGCUAUCUGUGGCGCCCAGGCAAUCUGCACCAAGGGUCACUCGCAGGCCCACGCCAAGCCACUCUCAGCCAGUCCAGAUGUGGCAGGGUGCUGGUGUGUCACUGCCGCCCAGAGCAAGCACACACCUGGAAAGGACUCACUGUGACACAUUCCAGCCUGUGGAAAGAAAGACUUCUAUUUCAAGGUGAGAAAUGAGAAGCAGGCUGACUUGAUCAACAUUUCAAACUUGCUAAGGUAUACUGAAUAUAACUUCUAGAAGGAUCAAAGAUUAGUAGAGGAUACAAGAAAAAGCACACAAAUAACUACAAAAUAAAGGCCAGUAAGAUAAAUAUCAUAAGAGUGCGGCAAACAAAGUUUGAGAAUAAAGAAGAAACAGCAUCACAUUAUCUGUUUAGUGUCUUAACAGCUGUAUGCAAGGUGGCAAAGAAAUGCAUGUAUUCAUUUUGCAUAUUUAAAAUUACAAGUGUCUACAGCUCACAGACAAUCUUUGAAUAAUUUUUUGCAAGUGUCUAAUAAAUGUUUUGGAAAUAAUAAUGAAGUCGUUUUUUAAAUAUCAAAUGAGAGAUUAUUAAUAUCGAUGUAUAAAACCCAAGGCUAACAUUUAUUUUCUAUAUUCCUUGCUUGGAC
rnacentral:lncRNA from 10 species